rnacentral:miRNA from 7 species
CCUGCAGCUGCAUUUUCCCUGUG